AUUAGAAUGUUUAUCUCCUGCAACGAGCCGGACGUUUCGAAUAGAGGAAAUCCCUUUGGACCAGGGCGAGCAUUUUCGAGAAGUGAUGAAGCGAAUCCAGAGCCUGCUGGACAUCCAGGAGAAGGAGUUUGAGAAGUUUAAAUUUGCAAUUGUAAUGAUGGGCCGACACCAGUACAUAAAUGAAGACGAGUAUGAAGUAAAUUUGAAAGACUUUGAGCCACAGCCCGGUAAUAUGUCUCAUCCUCGGCCUUGGCUAGGGCUCGACCACUUCAACAAAGCCCCAAAGAGGAGUCGCUACACUUACCUUGAAAAGGCCAUUAAAAUCCAUAACUGAUUUCCAAGCUGGUGUGUUCAAGGCGAGGACGGUGUGUGGGUGGCCCCUUAACAGCCUAGAACUUUGGUGCACGUGCCCUCUAGCCGAAGUCUUCAGCAAGAGGAUUCGCUGCUGGUGUUAAUUUUAUUUUAUUGAGGCUGUUCAGUUUGGCUUCUCUGUAUCUAUUGACUGCCCUUUUUGAGCAAAAUGAAGAUGUUUUUAUAAAGCUUGGAUGCCAAUGAGAGUUAUUUUAUGGUAACCACAGUGCAAGGCAACUGUCAGCGCAAUGGGGGAGAAGAGGUUAGUGGAUCGGGGGUCCCUGGCUCAAGGUCUCUGGGCUGUCCCUAGUGGGCACGAGUGGCUCGGCUGCCUUCCUGGGGUCCCGUGCACCAGCCCUGCAGCUAGCAAGUCUUGUGUUUAGGCUCGUCUGACCUAUUUCCUUCAGUUAUACUUUCAAUGACCUUUUGUGCAUCUGUUAAGGCAAAACAGAGAAACUCACAACCUAAUAAAUAGCGCUCUUCCCUUCAUUGUGUGCAUUGUCGGCCCUUCCUCGGGUUCUCCUCCUCCAGCUGCCUGGGGGCUUUUUAAUAAACUUGUCUCACCUCGUCAGCCACUACUGUCUGCAGCCCCUUUGCAAAGUGGAUGCACUGAAUACAGUCCGGACAGACAUUGUGGGGGUCUUUUUAUUAAAUCAAGAACAUUGUUAAAUUCAAUUAAGGUUUACUCUGCUGCCUUGGCAGACUUACGAUCUCAACAGUUCAUACGAGCAGGUGAAAGGAUUAUAAAUAGAAUUUCGUUAAAGUGGAACAGACGACAAGAAAGCCUUUUAGCAAGAGGGCAUGCUCACUAGUGGUUAGUAAGCUGUCGACUUUGUAAAAAAGUUAAAAAUGAAAAAAAAAGGAAAAAUGAAUUGUAUAUUUAAUGAAUGAACAUGUACAAUUUGCCACUGGGAGGAGGUUCCUUUUUGUUGGGUGAGUCUGCAAGUGAAUUUCACUGAUGUUGAUAUUCAUUGUGUGUAGUUUUAUUUCGGUCCCAGCCCCGUUUCCUUUUAUUUUGGAGCUAAUGCCAGCUGCGUGUCUAGUUUUGAGUGCAGUAAAAUAGAAUCAGCAAAUCACUCUUAUUUUUCAUCCUUUUCCGGUAUUUUUUGGGUUGUUUCUGUGGGAGCAGUGUACACCAACUCUUCCUGUAUAUUGCCUUUUUGCUGGAAAAUGUUGUAUGUUGAAUAAAAUUUUCUA
rnacentral:lncRNA from 1 species